GAGGGACGCAGAGUUAGAGCUGUCUGUCCGUCCUGGUGCAGAGAAGCAAUGUCCAGCUGCAGGGCUCUCCAGUCACUGAGUGAUAGGUCCUGCCUCGAUUGUUUUGGGUUGGAGAGAUGUCAUUACAGGAACUCCAGAGAAGGGGAUCUUGUACUGAUGAAACUGCUCCAGCAUUCUCAGGGAGUUGGACCUGAACGAGCGAAAGUACGAAAGCCCUGCCCCUUUGCCCUUUGAAAGAUCACAAAGAUGAUAACGAAUGUACAAUAAAAUUGUUUUUAAUAUA